GGAUUAGAUACCCUGGUAGUCCACGCCGUAAACGAUGGAUACUAGCUGUUGGGAGCAAUCUCAGUGGCUAAGCGAAAGUGAUAAGUAUCCCACCUGGGGAGUACGUUCGCAAGAAUGAAACUCAAAGGAAUUGACGGGGGCCCGCACAAGCGGUGGAGCAUGUGGUUUAAUUCGAUGAUACGCGAGGAACCUUACCAAGGCUUAAAUGUAGUUUGACCGUUUUGGAAACAGAACUUUCGCAAGACAAAUUACAAGGUGCUGCAUGGUUGUCGUCAGCUCGUGCCG
rnacentral:rRNA from 1 species